rnacentral:rRNA from 1 species
AGUGAACGCUGGCGGUAGGCCUAACACAUGCGAGUCGAACGGCAGCACAGUAAGAGCUUGCUCUUACGGGUGGCGAGUGGCGGACGGGUGAGGAAUACAUCGUAAUCUACUUUUUCGUGGGGGAUAACGUAGGGAAACUUACGCUAAUACCGCAUACGACCUACGGGUGAAAGCAGGGGAUCUUCGGACCUUGCGCGAUUGAAUGAGCCGAUGUCGGAUUAGCUAGUUGGCGGGGUAAAGGCCCACCAAGGCGACGAUCCGUAGCUGGUCUGAGAGGAUGAUCAGCCACACUGGAACUGAGACACGGUCCAGACUCCUACGGGAGGCAGCAGUGGGGAAUAUUGGACAAUGGGCGCAAGCCUGAUCCAGCCAUACCGCGUGGGUGAAGAAGGCGUUCGGGUUGUAAAGCCCUUUUGUUGGGAAAGAAAAGCAGCAGGUUAAUACCCCGCUGUUCUGACGGUACCCAAAGAAUAAGCACCGGCUAACUUCGUG